AUUGAACGCUGGCGGCAUGCUUUACACAUGCAAGUCGAACGGCAGCGCGGGCUUCGGCCUGGCGGCGAGUGGCGAACGGGUGAGUAAUGCAUCGGAACGUGCCCAGUAGUGGGGGAUAGCCCGGCGAAAGCCGGAUUAAUACCGCAUACGAUCUGAGGGUGAAAGCGGGGGACCGAAAGGCCUCGCGCUAUUGGACUGGCCGAUGUCGGAUUAGCUAGUUGGUGGGGUAAAGGCUUACCAAGGCCACGAUCCGUAGCUGGUCUGAGAGGACGACCGGCCACACUGGGACUGAGACACGGCCCAGACUCCUACGGGAGGCAGCAGUGGGGAAUUUUGGGCAAUGGGGGCAACCCUGAUCCAGCCAUGCCGCGUGCGGGAAGAAGGCCUUCGGGUUGUAAACCGCUUUUGUUCGGGAAGAAAUCCUCUGGGCUAAUACCCCGGGGGGAUGACGGUACCGGAAGAAUAAGCACCGGCUAACUACGUG
rnacentral:rRNA from 1 species